UACGAAGGGGGCUAGCGUUGCUCGGAAUUACUGGGCGUAAAGCGAACGUAGGCGGUGUUCCAUGUCAGAGGUGAAAGCCUGGGGCUCAACUCCAGAAUUGCCUUUGAAACGGGAACGCUUGAGUCCGAGAGAGGAUGGCGGAAUUCCUAGUGUAGAGGUGAAAUUCGUAGAUAUUAGGAAGAACACCGGUGGCGAAGGCGGCCAUCUGGCUCGGUACUGACGCUCAGGUUCGAAAGCGUGGGGAGCAAACAGG
rnacentral:rRNA from 1 species